CUGAUAGAUUGCUCACAUUUAUUGGUUCGAAGAACAAGAAAUUUCUUUUUCAGGUAAAAGUCCAGAGAGGGUGUUCAUAUCAGUAGAUAGGCUCUCCUCCAUACGGACACUAAGGUGUCAGGACUUCGUCAUCUUCAACCCAUGGCUCCAAGGUUGGUGUGGGCAUCACAACAUCCCAGUCAACCAAAAGGGACAAAGACCAUAAGGAAGCACUUGUGAGGGAAUUUUAUAGAUAGUCCCAGACUUGCCAGAAGUCACUUAUGCUCAGAUUCUACUGGGGAGAACUGAGCUAUGUGGCCUCAGCUACCUAUAAGAGAGGCUGGGAAAUCUAGUCUAGCUGGUGCCCAAGAAGGCAAGAAGGGAUAUUACUGUAGUCAGAGGCCUCUGCUACAAUAUGUAUGCUCCACAUUUAUUUGUAGAGCAGUUUCAUGGCUCUGAUUAGGUUGUCAAAGUGGUCUACACCCAAAAAUGUUUCAGAGCCUCCUGUACCACUAGUACUGCUGCUUUUACCUUGCUCUCUACAAGGUGUAAGGGCUAUGAAGUCAAAACAACAGAGAUGACAAAAUACGCCUGACUUAGGAAAACCCUCUGCCCUACUUCUGCCCAGGGCGGCCCAGGGCUGUUCAUAUCCCUUGGAAUACCCUUUGCAGGGCUUGAAGCAGACGUCAUAUCGACUACCAGAACUCACAGGAUCCAGCAUAUUGGAAUCAAAUUUUUUUGAAAGAAAAGACAUCUGUUUAUGGUUUGUAGUUUUUGUGCUUUGUGUAAGGACUUCUUCUCUACCCUGAAAUGAUGAAGAUAUUCUGAAAAUCUGGAGGUUUUGCCUUGCUAGUAAGAUCAUUAAGAACGUACUUUUGUUUACAGUGUGAGGUAGGGAUCUCAUUUUUAAAAAUAUAGAAAAGAGAGUGCUAAUUAUCUCAGCACCAUUAAUUAAACAGAUCAUCUUUGAUUAAUUUGCAUUGACUUAUCUGUCAUUUGUAUGUAUGGUUCUGUUUCUGAACCUACUAUUUUCUUUCACUAGAUUAUUGAAUGACAUAAUAGACCUUGCAGGUCUAUGCGGUUCUGUUUUGGAACCUGCUUUUUUUGUUCAUUAGAUUAUAGACCAAUCACUGUACCAAUACCACAUUCUUACAAUAUGAAGCUUUUGAUAUCAAAAGGGAAAAUUUUCCCUCCCUAUGCUUCUCCAGAAUUGUCUUGGUCAUUCUUGGCCUCUUCUAAUUCCUCAUGAAUUUUGGAAUCACUUUGUCAGGGUCUAUGAAAGAUCCUAUAUUAUAAUUUGGAGUAAAUUGUUUUGGGGUCAUGGAAUCUUCUCAUCCAUGAACAUGAUGUAUCUCUCCAUUUAUUUAGGCUUUUCUCUGUAUUUCAAUAAGGCUUUAUAAUUUUCACCACAGAUACUAUGAGUUUUUAUUCAAGUUCUAAGAUUGGUUGCUACUAUGAAUGAGACCUUUAAGAAUUUAUAAUAUCUAAUGGGCUAUGGCUUCUUUGUAUAUUGACCUUUUAUUCAACAAUGCUGCUAAGCUCUCUUAUUUGUUCUAUUAAUUCAUUAGAUUUGCUUGAAUUUCUUAGCAGAUAACUACAUCAUCAAUAAAUCAUAUUUUCUUGUUUUUUUUGACCCUUAUAGCUUCUCAUUUGUGUGUGUGUGUGUGUGUGUUAUUGGCAAGGGGCUUCAGUACAAUGCUGAGUAGAAAUGGUAAAGAUGGUAAAGCUGUCCUUAAUGUUUAAUGAAUUAAGAUUAAGAAUAAUGUUUCUAGAAAUAGGUUAUUGGUAGCAACUCUUUAUUGUAUUUAGGACAUUUCUUCCUUUCCUAGUUUGCUAGGAUUUAAAAAAAAAUAAAUGAAUGGCAAAUUCCUUUGUAUUUUCUAAUAUUAAAUCGUCCUUAUAUUAUGGUGUCAAACUGAUGUGCUUAUGAAGUAUAUAUUUUUAAAACCCAUGCUGAACUGGGUUGAAUAACAUUGUAUUUAAGAAUAACAUUUUUUAAUGCCUUUUGAGAUUGGCUAAUAAUUUUCCUUUCUACAUUUUUUUCUGAUUUUAGUAUUAAGAUUUUAUUAGCUCAUAAAAUCAUCGAGAUGCUUUCCUUCUUAUCUUUGAACCAUUUGAAAUAGAGAGUGUCUAUGAAGAUUUCAUAAACCUUUCUCACUAAAUCUUUGAGCUUUCUUAUAGGUAGAUUUAGAAAUGGGAAUUCAGUUUAUUUAAUGGUUAUAAAUAUAUUCAUGUUUUAAAUUUUUUGAAUCAAUAGUUUUUAUAAUUUAUAUUUGGUAAGAAAUAUUUAUUUUCACUAAGUUUUUAAUGUUCAGAAAGGAUGUAUUACUAUACUAUUCUCUUAGAAUUAAAAAAAUUCUACUGAAACUAUAAUUAUAGUCUCAUUCAUAGUCUUAUUUUUUCCUCCACUAUGUAUUUUUUUUAGCAAUUUACCUCUUUUUAUUUUUGUUUUAUGACCCUUUCUAUGACUUCUUUGUAUAAAGGUCUAUUGCUAGCUCUAAAAUUAUACAUGUAACACAUGUUUUUUUUUCUUCUUCAUUUGCUUUUUUCUUCUCCUUUUGUUUUCUAGCAAAGCCUUUUUUACUUGGGUGAGGAAGACCACGGGAAAGCAAUUGCUAGGCCUUGAUUGCUUCACACUACCUAGAUUAUUUGUGCAGAAAUGUGUGGUGAGAAGCAGGUGAGCACAGAGGCACCACAUUGAGGGUUUUCAUUUCAUUGCAAGGUAGCCCUCACACUAGGCUGCUGGGCACACAAUCCCAAUGUCUCCUCCCCAUUCCUGGAGUCUCCUUAUGCACUUCUACCCUCAAGAGCAUUUUGUUUUGUUUUGUUUUCUAUUUUUGUUUUUGUUUUAACUAAAUUGGGCUGCCUCACCCA
rnacentral:lncRNA from 1 species